rnacentral:rRNA from 1 species
GGGCUCACCUGAGUGUGCAGUGGGUACGGGCAGACUAGAGUGUGGUAGGGGAGACUGGAAUUCCUGGUGUAGCGGUGGAAUGCGCAGAUAUCAGGAGGAACACCGAUGGCGAAGGCAGGUCUCUGGGCCACUACUGACGCUGAGAAGCGAAAGCAUGGGGAGCGAACAGGAUUAGAUACCCUGGUAGUCCAUGCCGUAAACGUUGGGCGCUAGGUGUGGGUCUCAUUCCACGAGAUCCGUGCCGCAGCUAACGCAUUAAGCGCCCCGCCUGGGGAGUACGGCCGCAAGGCUAAAACUCAAAGCGAAUUGACGGGGGCCCGCUACAAGCGGCGGAGCAUGCGGAUUAAUUCGAUUGCAUAGCGCGAAGAACCUUACCAAGGCUUUGACCAUAUACCGGGAAACUUCCCAGAGAAUGGUUUGCCCCAGCAAGGUCGGGUUAUACAGGUGGUUGCAUGGUUGGUCGUCCAGGCUCGUGUCGUGAAGAUGUUGGGGUUAAGUCC